GCCACAGCUCAGUGGUAGAACAUCUGCUUUGCAUGCAAAAGGUCAUGGGUUCAAUCCCUGGAAUCGUCAGCG
rnacentral:tRNA from 1 species